GUACUGCUGAAGAGCUCCUAACUAGGACGAAACAGCUGUCCAGUAC
rnacentral:hammerhead_ribozyme from 1 species